GUGGGGAAUAUUGCACAAUGGGGGGAACCCUGAUGCAGCCAUGCCGCGUGAAUGAAGAAGGCCUUCGGGUUGUAAAGUUCUUUCGGUGACGAGGAAGGUUGGUAUGUUAAUAGCAUAUCAAAUUGACGUUAAUCACAGAAGAAGCACCGGCUAACUCCGUGCCAGCAGCCGCGGUAAUACGGGGGGUGCGAGCGUUAAUCGGAAUAACUGGGCGUAAAGGGCACGCAGGCGGUGACUUAAGUGAGAUGUGAAAGCCCCGGGCUUAACCUGGGAAUUGCAUUUCAUACUGGGUCGCUAGAGUACUUUAGGGAGGGGUAGAAUUCCACGUGUAGCGGUGAAAUGCGUAGAGAUGUGGAGGAAUACCGAAGGCGAAGGCAGCCCCUUGGGAAUGUACUGACGCUCAUGUGCGAAAGCGUGGGGAGCAAACAGGAUUAGAAACCCCAGUAGUCC
rnacentral:rRNA from 1 species